rnacentral:rRNA from 1 species
CACGUAGGGGCCAAGCGUUGUCCGGAUUCAUUGGGCGUAAAGAGCUCGUAGGCGGUUCAGUCAGUCGGGUGUGAAAUCUCCGGGCUCAACCCGGAGGGGCCACCCGAUACUGCUGUGACUCGAGUCCGGUAGGGGAGUGGGGAAUUCCUGGUGUAGCGGUGAAAUGCGCAGAUAUCAGGAGGAACACCGGUGGCGAAGGCGCCACUCUGGGCCGAAACUGACGCUGAGGAGCGAAAGCGUGGGUAGCAAACAGG